rnacentral:misc_RNA from 1 species
GAUGAAGAACGCAGCGAAAUGCGAUAAGUAAUGUGAAUUGCAGAAUUCAGUGAAUCAUCGAAUCUUUGAACGCACAUCGCGCCCCCUGGUAUUCCGGGGGGCAUGCCUGUCCGAGCGUCAUUACAACCCUCAAGCUCAGCUUGGUGUUGGGCCCCGCCGCCCCGGCGGGCCCUAAAGUCAGUGGCGGUGCCGUCCGGCUCCGAGCGUAGUAAUUCUUCUCGCUCUGGAGGUCCGGUCGUGUGCUCGCCAGCAACCCCCAAUUUUUUUCAGGUUGACCUCGGAUCAGGUAGGGAUACCCGCUGAACUUAAGCAUAUCAAUAAGCGGAGGA